UCCUGAAGAAAACAUUCGUCCCGAAUGCAACUGGACUUGGGUCAACUGAAAACAUCACUUGCAGUUAUAGAAGUUGUAGCCUUCCCAAUACUAAAUCGGCUGGGAGAGAAACAUGCCUACCAAACAUCAUCUCACAUGGACUUGCGCCAGUUGACUCGUGCUGGGCUGACCUAUAAGCUAACAUGAGCAAGGGUGCCUUUUGUUUCGACCUAGUUUCAACAACUGAACACUUUUGUGUAGAUUCUUCAGAUAUGGGAGACAUGGCUGCUGAGAUACCUUCUGUGGGAGCAGGGACUUUCCCGUUAUCCGCAAUGGAUCCAGCGGGACUGAAAAUUUGCUGACCUAUGGGUCUGAAAGUGACUUCCCCGGACUCUUCUAAAUCUGACAUUUCUGUGACUUUUUUUUUUAAGUAUUUUAUUGUACACUAUGAAAUUUCAAUGAUUGUAAAAUUUUGAAUUUAAUAAAGCUAACCGAGAAUGUGGAAAAUUUCUUCCCAAAUAAAGGGACUUGAUCCCA